UACAGAGGGUGCAAGCGUUGCUCGGAAUUAUUGGGCGUAAAGCGCGUGUAGGCGGCCCUGUAAGUCGGGUGUGAAAUCCCACGGCUCAACCGUGGAAGUGCAUUCGAAACUACAGGGCUAGAGUUCUGGAGAGGAAGGUGGAAUGCUUGGUGUAGAGGUGAAAUUCGUAGAUAUCAAGCGGAACACCGGUGGCGAAGGCGGCCUUCUGGACAGUAACUGACGCUGAGACGCGAAAGCGUGGGGAGCAAACAGG
rnacentral:rRNA from 1 species